rnacentral:misc_RNA from 1 species
GCAAACUUGGUCAUUUAGAGGAAGUAAAAGUCGUAACAAGGUUUCCGUAGGUGAACCUGCGGAAGGAUCAUUAUUGAACAAACCGGUGUCGGCUGAGCUGGCCUUUUCGGAGGCAUGUGCACGGCCCACCAUUGUUUCAUCCUUCUCUUCCACCUGUGCACUUCUGUGGGCCCACUCCAGCACACACACCCGUGUGCUGGAAUCUGGUGCCUACGCUUUACUACCCACACCAUUGAAUGUUCAGAAUGCAUGAAUAGGGCGUUCUCGCCCAUAAAACCUUAUACAACUUUCAACAACGGAUCUCUUGGCUCUCGCAUCGAUGAAGAACGCAGC